CACAAGCGGUGGAGCAUGUGGUUUAAUUCGAAGCUACGCGAAGAACCUUACCAGGUCUUGACAUCUUCUGCCAAUCUUAGAGAUAAGACGUUCCCUUCGGGGACAGAAUGACAGGUGGUGCAUGGUUGUCGUCAGCUCGUGUCGUGAGAUGUUGGGUUAAGUCCCGCAACGAGCGCAACCCUUAUUAUCAGUUGCCAGCAUUCAGUUGGGCACUCUGGUGAGACUGCCGGUGACAAACCGGAGGAAGGUGGGGAUGACGUCAAAUCAUCAUGCCCCUUAUGACCUGGGCUACACACGUGCUACAAUGGACGGUACAACGAGUCGCAAAGUCGCGAGGCUAAGCUAAUCUCUUAAAGCCGUUCUCAGUUCGGAUUGCAGGCUGCAACUCGCCUACAUGAAGUUGGAAUCGCUAGUAAUCGCGGAUCAGCAUGCCGCGGUGAAUACGUUCCCGGGCCUUGUACACGCCGCCCGUCACACCAUGAGAGUUUGUAACACCCAAAGCCGGUGAGGUAACCUUUUGGAGCCAGCCGUCUAAGGUGGGACAGAUGAUUAGGGUGAAGUCGUAACAAGGUAACC
rnacentral:rRNA from 1 species